GGGGGGGUAAUGACCAGGGCUUCCCUGCUGUGGGAACAGUGACCUGGGGAUCUUUCCUGUUUGUUUUCUGUUGGUUUUGCCCUUUCCCAGGUGCAGAAGGGGAAAUGAAGAUGUGUAAGGCCGUGCCUAUGUCCAUUCUGCUGUUUACAGGCUAUCUUUGUACCACUGUGGAUGUUGCUGCAGAAACCAUGACACCGCUGCACUUCAGCACCGACUCAACUGCAGGUCCUUCCAAAGACGCUGGAACCGAAACCGUGACCCUGACGCACUUCAGCGCCGACUCAACUGCAGGUCAUUACAAACACACAGAGACCGAUGGAUCCGGAACCCCGCCACGUGAGAGUGAUCCCAUUCCAGGUCUGGUGUUGAGUUUGUUGUUUCCUCCCAGUCCUGGGUCAGUUCUUCCCUUGGUGUGCACACCCAAGUCUUAUGAAUGCACCGUUCCACUUUCCCCUUGUUGUUUGCCACUCCCAUCCAAAAGUCUUGCACACGCCAGCCAAGUCAGCAGCAAUAGAACUUGGAUUGGUUUAAAUGGAUUUGCCCCCUGCUUCUGCAGAGGUGGAAGCUGAAGCACAAAGAAUAUUUUGGACAUCUGAAAUAAUGCAUUCUAAAUAAUCGUCUGUCAGGAGGCCAAAACCCUCACUUUUCAUGGUCAGUGAGUAUCUUGGUACUUUGUGUUAAGGGAAGAAAACAGAUGAGGGUGACAACAACAGAAAAAGGCCUCACAGACCUGCUAAGUGUCUUGGUGCUCUCUUUGACACCCCUCUGUAGCACCUGCCUCGGUGUGUCUCGACUGCUGCUGUGCUCCUGCUGAUCUUUCUGGAGGCUUCAUGAGGUCACUGCCUUUCAUGAGCCCCACCUGUGCUCUGUGAGCUGUGGGAAGCCCUAGGUGGACGCCAGGUCUUCUGAUUGCUCAGG